GGGUGCUUGAAUCAUUUCGGUUCAGGCAUAGCCUUGAACCAGAAAGACGAAAGCCCCGAAUCGCGAUGUUAAUCUCAAUCCGAGGCAGUCUACUAACCGUCAAUUAGAUUCUGUCUCCUUUUACCCAAGGAGUCAAGAGGAA
rnacentral:antisense_RNA from 1 species